GCGGGCUUAGCUCAGUUGGUAGAGCGCUUCAUUUACACUGAAGAUGUCAGGGGUUCGAGUCCCUUAGCCCGCACCA
rnacentral:tRNA from 4 species